GGGGCAGCCCUGCCAGCCCAGCCCAGGCUGGCCCAGCUUAGCCACACAUGCGCCAUGAAGUACCCUUUGAUGCCGCUGGUGAACGACCUCACAUUUUCUUUCCUGGUUUUCUGGUUCUGCCUCCCUGUGGGUUUGCUGUUGUUAUUGAUCAUCUGGCUACGCUUCUUACUUAGCCAAGAUUCAGAGGAAAAUGACUCCAGUGUGUGCUUGGAUUGGGAGCCCUGGAGCAAAGGCCCAGCUGAGUUUUGCUGGAAGGGGACACUCCACGGCCAAGAGAAGGAGAGGCCCUGCUGGUGAGCCUGCUGUGCCAGCUCUGGCCCCUCCUCAGGCCGAAUGGAUCAGCUUCCCCAGAAGAAUCUCCUGCGACUACACCCUGCUGGCUCUGCUGGCUGUUCCACUGGAGUGGAGAGCUCCAGCAUGGAUGGCUUUUGGAUGGAGGUGGAACA
rnacentral:lncRNA from 1 species